UGCUAGGGGAGCCUUAGUGGCUGAGAGUUUACCCUUAUUACUUGAUUCGGUUAAUGCCGACGUAAGGAAGCGUAUGAUU
rnacentral:ncRNA from 1 species